GGGGAUGACAGGCUUCGACGGGAGAGGCUGGUCCCGGAAUGCGAGCCGAGAGGCGCCGAACUCGUGAAAUCAGCGCAAAAAUCAAGUGCCAACCGCACUGAAUACGCUGCCAUGCCCCUCGCCGCCUAGUGUGACGAGACCAUGACAGUCGGCCUCCAUAGAUGAGACCGCGUCCGCCGGCACCGCGCUCCGCCGGGUGACGGAUCGGGCGUGACAAAGGCGGAGUGCCGCGCACGACGCCGCUAUCUGCGCGAAAGACCAGCGGCUGAUCGCAGGGAGUUCUGGUCGGAUGAGACCCCUGCGAUGACGAACCUCAUCCGACUACGCUCGUAGAUUUCCGAGGGUCGAAUCUUUCGGACCCGGGUUCAAUUCCCGGCAUCUCCACUU
rnacentral:tmRNA from 1 species